AACGAACGCUGGCGGCAUGCCUAACACAUGCAAGUCGAACGAGACCUUCGGGUCUAGUGGCGCACGGGUGCGUAACGCGUGGGAACCUGCCCUUAGGUUUGGAAUAACUCCCCGAAAGGGGUGCUAAUACCGGAUAAUGUCUUCGGACCAAAGAUUUAUCGCCUUUGGAUGGGCCCGCGUUGGAUUAGCUAGUUGGUAGGGUAAAAGCCUACCAAGGCGACGAUCCAUAGCUGGUCUGAGAGGAUGAUCAGCCACACUGGGACUGAGACACGGCCCAGACUCCUACGGGAAGCAGCAGUGGGGAAUAUUGGACAAUGGGCGAAAGCCUGAUCCAGCAAGGCCGCGUGAGUGAUGAAGGCCUUAGGGUUGUAAAGCUCUUUUACCCGGGAUGAUAAUGACAGUACCGGGAGAAUAAGCUCCGGCUAACUCCGUG
rnacentral:rRNA from 1 species